rnacentral:snRNA from 1 species
GGAUGUGAGGGAUAUCUGGCUAUGACAUCUGUCACCCCAUUGAUUGCCAGGGUUGAUUCAGCUGAUCUGGUUGGCUAGGUGGUUGUCCCCUUCUUCCCUUACCUCUCCAUGUGCAUCCCUCCCAAGGCAGCAUGCUAGGUCAAAGAGGACAAGCUUCCCAAUAGAGGAGAACCAUUCUUCAGUCAAUAGUAUAUGAGUAGCUAUACUUCCUAGAUAGAAUCUCCAAACAAGCUCUCAGGGUCCAAAUUGUCAUAAGCUGAGCAGCUUCACCUCUCCCAUGCCUUUCCACCAUGAUGUUUCUGCU